GCUCCUGCCGGUCGGUCCGCCUUCUUGGUGUGUACUUACUCGGCGGGAGCUUACCUCCUGGUGAGCUGUCAUGCCCUUUACUGGGUGUGGCAGGGAACCAGGACUUUUACUUUGAAAAAAUUAGAGUGUUCAAAGCAGGCCUUUGCCCGAAUACAUUAGCAUGGAAUAAUAAAAUAGGAC
rnacentral:rRNA from 1 species